UACGUAGGGUGCGAGCGUUGUCCGGAAUUACUGGGCGUAAAGAGCUCGUAGGUGGUUUGUCGCGUUGUUCGUGAAAACUCACGGCUUAACUGUGAGCGUGCGGGCGAUACGGGCAGACUGGAGUACUGCAGGGGAGACUGGAAUUCCUGGUGUAGCGGUGGAAUGCGCAGAUAUCAGGAGGAACACCGGUGGCGAAGGCGGGUCUCUGGGCAGUAACUGACGCUGAGGAGCGAAAGCGUGGGGAGCGAACAG
rnacentral:rRNA from 1 species